AAGCGAUUUAUUUGUGUAGCUCAUUAUACAUGCAGAUUCCGAUGUUUACGUCAUUGUAUUUUCAUAUAGUAUAUAUAUACUAUAUGAAAAUACAAUGACGUAAACAUCGGAAUCUGCAUGUAUAAUGAGCUACACAAAUAAAUCGCUU